rnacentral:lncRNA from 10 species
CAGAGAAUGAAAUAAAGGAGUACAAUUCAUGGACUUUAUGAUAGCUUUUUUCAGUUGAUGUGAAGAUCUGUGGACUUCCUUCCAGAAGGCAGAAGAUUACUGGCAUACUGCCAAGGCAAAGUCAUUGUACCUACACUAGUUUCUGCAAAUUGGAACAUAAUAAAUUCUCAAUGACCCAUGAUCUGAUUCUUAACAGGGACUAAUAAAGAAUAAGUAAAGAGUACUUUGUUGACAAGUUUUCCCUUACUUUCCUUUUCCACCAUUCUUACAUCUAGUCUGCCCUGUGCACCAAAGCACUUAUUUCUCCAUUGCAGGAGUUGUGAAGCAGAACCACAGGAAGGCAGCUCAACCAGGGGGAUCCUGUUGCUUACCUCCAGUACGUGAGGGGGUGGCAAGGACUCUGGCCCCACGGCAAGAAGACCAACCCUACUGAAGAAUUCUCUACAUAUGGACCAUGAUAUGCAGCUAGAAAUCACCAAGCAGAGAUGUUCCAAGUAUCAAUUUUGUGACAGGAGUAUUUAGAAGAGAAGCAUCAUGAUGCUUGCAUCUUACAUUCAAGUGGUUUGACAAAAACAUCGACAUUAAUUCCUUGAGCUCAAAUAAAUACGUUGCAGAUAAAUGAAGCCACUUUUCUCACUGUUGAAGAAGAAAAUUACAGAUAUGAAAACAGACAGGGUCUGCUCUGUUGGCCAGGCUGGAGCGCAGUGUCACAAUGUCUACUCACUGCAGGCUCUACCUCCUGGGCUCAAGCGAUUCUCACACCUCAGCCUCAAGAAUGGCUCAGACUACAGGCAUGUACCUCUGUGCCUGGCUAAGAUUUGUAGUUUUUUGGUAGACACAGGGUCUCACUAUGUUGCCCAGGCUGGUCUUGAACUCUAUAGUGUUUGAUCAUAGAAGUGGAGAUACUAACCAAAAAUCUUUUCAAAUUAAGCCUAAUAAACACAGACAUAAUAAUCUGACUAUAUUCAAACAAAUCGAAUAGUUAGUGUGCAGAUCCUCUUUCUAGAAAACCAAGUGCCAUUUUUUAAAAAAUCAAAGACUUAAUGAGCAAUUCUUUUUGUGCAAAGGUUGAUCAAGGGCUCACUGUAUUUUAUAUGGUUGUGUGGGAAAAUGCAUUACUAGUUUAUUAUGGCUUGGGUCCAUUCUCAAGGUGCCUCGUUUUUGUCCUAGAAAUGGAGUUUCUAUAUCAAUCUGCUUCAUAACCUUGGGGAGUCUUGUGAUGAGUACUGGUGGAAAAGCGUUUAGAUGAAGAUAAAUGAAAGCCUUACUAAGCCAAAUUCAUUUUAUUUAGACAUGCAAGUCACAUGGAAAUAAAUGUUAUUUAGGAGUAAUGUAAGUUGUAAAUCUGUUUUUUCCUUAACAUGAAUUGUAUAUGUUUAGAACUGCCUGGUGUAUAGUCUGGGCCAGGGGCCAGUUUUUCUCGGACUAAGGCUAAAUCCUGUAAAUUCACACUAUAAAUGAACUGACAGAAUACUUACCUACAUAAUAUCCUAAAUUAAAUUUGGCAUCACCAAAUAUCUUCAAAAGAGUGACUGGAGAUUCAACUUAAACUCUGACCUUUGCUCAACUGAACUCUGACACACUGAUCCACUUGGUAAAGGGCCAAAUCAAAGAUUUUUUUCCCAAGUUCUAUUUUGCAUGUGCAUACUUGUGGAAAGCUGACCUAGCCAUAACAUAUGGCAUGUCAUCAACUGAUAGAAGUGACCUGGCAAGUGGAUGUGUCCUCUUUCCAUUGCCAUCACUCUUCUCUUUAGAAUGUCUAGUCAUUGCAGGCUUGGUUGAUGAGAACAACCUUCACAAUGCAGGAAGAUCAUCUUUCCAUUGUGGGUACGUGUGGCCAUGUCAAAUAGCUUAAGGUAGCAGCCUCUUAUUGUCAAUUCUUACCCCUUUGCCACUCUUUCUGAACUGCCAGCUUCCUUCUCAACAGCUGGAUCUUUUUGGCUCUUUUACUUUCACCAUUGUUCUUUUCUUUCACUAGAAACUCCCUCUGCUACCACUGUUCACCCCUGUGCAAAGAAUUUCCAAACCUAGUUCCUAUCUUCUGUCUAUAGCCUUCUUGUGUAUCUUAUCUCUGUAUCUCUCAGGUCAAUAAAACAUCUGAGAAAUAAAUGAAAAUGAUUUGUUGGUUCUAGUUUCUGUUCUGCACAUCCAGCUGCAUCUCCAGUUCCUAGGGUGACCGUAUAAAAUUGGGACAGCUUUGAAUAUGAAAGAGAGCACUUUUGACGAUAAUUAUGCUGGGACAAUAGCCAUAAAUGGUUCCAGGCAAACCCAUGGUCACUCUUCCUGUUUAGCAUGUGCCAAAUUAAAACCAUCACAGCUACCACCAGGACACCUUUUCUUCCAGAAAUAAAUAUUUCUAAAUUUUCAGUCACUCAGGGUCAAAUGCUGGAGUCAUAGCUGACUUCCAUCUCUCUCCCAUAUUUAAUGUCUC